CUUUUACAUUUAAGGAAACUAGCACUAAGAUAAGUGACUUAAGCAGUAUUUGCUCUUUCUUUUAUUCUCUUUUUUUCACCCUGCUACAACUCUAGUUCAUAUCUAUAUUUCCUCUAGACCAAAGUAUUCCAAAGUGUGUUCUGUGAAAUAAAAUCCACACAACUCUGCCCAGAGAAGCACGUUGGUCAGAUAUGUUUGGGAGAUGGGUGAUGGUACACCCUGAAAUCCUCCUUGUCUGUGUCACAGGGCACAUUAAUCCCUCUGAGAAAAGCUGCUGUAAGGAGCCUUCCAAAACUUUUAACAGAACCUUAAAUCAGCAGCCCUGUUGAUGUCCCACAAAGCCAGAGGUCCAUGGAAUGAACUU
rnacentral:lncRNA from 1 species